GAUGAACGCUGGCGGCGUGCCUAAUACAUGCAAGUCGAGCGAACGGACGAGAAGCUUGCUUCUCUGAUGUUAGCGGCGGACGGGUGAGUAACACGUGGAUAACCUACCUAUAAGACUGGGAUAACUUCGGGAAACCGGAGCUAAUACCGGAUAAUAUUUUGAACCUCAUGGUUCAAAAGUGAAAGACGGUCUUGCUGUCACUUAUAGAUGGAUCCGCGCUGCAUUAGCUAGUUGGUAAGGUAACGGCUUACCAAGGCAACGAUGCAUAGCCGACCUGAGAGGGUGAUUGGACACACGGGAACUGAGACACGGUCCAGACUCCUACGGGAGGCAGCAGUAGGGAAUCUUACGCAAUGGGCGAAAGCCUGACGGAGCAACGCCGCGUGAGUGAUGAAGGUCUUCGGAUCGUAAAACUCUGUUAUUAGGGAAGAACAUAUGUGUAAGUACCUGUGCACAUCUUGACGGUACCUAAUCAGAAAGCCACGGCUAACUACGUG
rnacentral:rRNA from 1 species